rnacentral:piRNA from 1 species
CAGUUUCUCUCAACAUUUCUAACGGUCGAA